rnacentral:rRNA from 1 species
GUAGGUGGCAAGCGUUGUCCGGAAUUAUUGGGCGUAAAGCGCGCGCAGGCGGUCCUUUAAGUCUGAUGUGAAAGCCCACGGGCUCAACCAUGGAGGGUCAUUGGAAACUGGGGGACUUGAGUACAGAAGAGGAAAGCGGAAUUCCAAGUGUAGCGGUGAAAUGCGUAGAGAUUUGGAGGAACACCAGUGGCGAAGGCGGCUUUCUGGCCUGUAACUGACGCUGAGGCGCGAAAGCGUGGGGAGCAAACAGGAUUAGAUACCCUGGUAGUCCACGCCGUAAACGAUGAGUGCUAAGUGUUAGGGGGUUUCCGCCCCUUAGUGCUGCAGCUAACGCAUUAAGCACUCCGCCUGGGGAGUACGGCCGCAAAGGCUG